CCUGGUUGAUCCUGCCAGUAGUCAUAUGCUUGUCUCAAAGAUUAAGCCAUGCAAGUCUAAGCACAAGCCGUUAAAUGGUAAAGCCGCGAAUAGCUCAUUACAACAGCCAUAGUUUAUUAGAUAGUUCCUUACUACAUGGAUAACUGUGGUAAUUCUAGAGCUAAUACAUGCUUAAAAGAACGACCUCGCAAGAGGUUGUUCUGCACUUAUUAGAACAAAACCAAUCGCGCAGCGGCAACGUAGUGCGUUAUUUGGUGAAUCUGAAUAACUUGGCGGAUCGCACGGUCUAGUACCGGCGACGCAUCUUUCAAAUGUCUGCCUUAUCAACUGUCGAUGGUAGUUUACAUGCCUACCAUGGUGAUAACGGGUAACAGAGAAUAAGGGUUUGACUCUGGAGAGGGAGCCUGAGAGACGGCUACCACAUCCAAGGAAGGCAGCAGGCACGCAAAUUACCCACUCCCGGCACGGGGAGGUAGUGACGAAAAAUAACGAGGUCGUUUCCUAAUGGAGCCGACCAUCGGAAUGGGUACAAUUUAAAUCCUUUAACGAGGAUCUACUGGAGGGCAAGUCUGGUGCCAGCAGCCGCGGUAAUUCCAGCUCCAAUAGCGUAUAUUAAAGUUGUUGCGUUUAAAAAGCUCGUAGUUGGAUCUACGGUCUGGUAGAUGGUCCCACUUAGUGUGCGGUACUAUCUCUCUAGGCCUCUUCUGUUGGUUUUCUCUUGGUGCUCUUAAUUGAGUGUCUUGAGUGGCUGACGCGUUUACUUUGAAAAAAUUAGAGUGCUCAAAGCAGGCGAUUUAGCUUGAAUAGUGGUGCAUGGAAUAAUGGAAUAGGACCCGCGUGGCUGUUGCUGCUUCGGUGGCGGCGGUCGCUUCAGGUACUGUUUUGUUGGUUUUAGGUACACGGGUAAUGAUUAAGAGGGACAGACGGGGGCAUUCGUAUUGCGUGGUUAGAGGUGAAAUUCUUGGAUCCACGCAAGACGAUCUACUGCGAAAGCAUUUGCCAAGAAUGUUUUCAUUAAUCAAGAUCGAAAGUUAGGGGUUCGAAGGCGAUCAGAUACCGCCCUAGUCUUAACCGUAAACGAUGCUAACCAGCGGUUGGUGAGUGUUUAUUUAUGACCUCAUCAGAAGCCCCUUCGGAAACGUUUGAGUUUUUGAGUUACGGGGGAAGUAUGGUUGCAAAUCUGAAACUUAAAGGAAUUGACGGAAGGGCACCACCAGGAGUGGAGCCUGCGGCUUAAUUUGACCCAACGCGGGGAAACUCACCCGGCCCGGACACUGUAC
rnacentral:rRNA from 1 species